rnacentral:lncRNA from 1 species
UUCUCCUGGGGGGCGGGGAGGGGGGGUCUCCAAAAACCGCGGCGGCGGCGGCGGCCGCUCCAGGCGCCCGUUCCGGAGUCGGGGGGAGGCCCAGCCGGGAGGGGGGAAGGGGGGGAGCCUUAGUCAUUUCCCCGCUCCAGCCUGCUCCCGCCCGAGCGCGCACUCACGGCCGCUCUCCCUCCUCGCUCCGCAGCCGCGGCCCAUGGAGCCCGCCGGCCCGGCCCCCGGCCGCCUCGGGCCGCUGCUCUGCCUGCUGCUCGCCGCGUCCUGCGCCUGGUCAGGUAAGCACCCCCCCGCUCCCCACCGCUGCACUCCCCAAACUGCGGGCUCAGGCCUCUCAGACUGGCACUGGGACCCCUUCGGCUAAUGCCGAGCAGUAAUAGGGGGAGAGACGCCUGUAACCAGGUAUGCCCGUUAGCAUGUGGCCUCUCUCCGUUUGGUAAACGGUUUUCUACAGAUCCAUGCCCUCAGCUGAACCUGCAUACCAGGUAGCUGCCACUCCUCUGUCUACCUGGUUCUCUCCUUCUCCCCUAUUCUAGCUCGCUCUCUCACUCUGCGUCUGUCUCUCAGGCAUGUGUUUCUCUGAGGUCUUUAUGAUCAUGAUCUUUCUUUUUUUUGUUUCUUGUACCUCACCUUGUUCAGAAUCGAGGCCCUGGCUCUGCCUUGCUCUGAACUGUUCUCACUUGGUCCCUAUCCAUCUUCAACGCAUCUCAUGACAAGCUCGUCCUGCCCUCUUCCUGUCUGGGCUCCCCCCGUGCACCCCAAUCUCUCCACCCAGGGUCCCUGUCUUGUGUGCCCCAGUGUCUCUGAUUGGGGCUCAGGCUCCUGCAGCCAACCUCUACAAUUCCUUCCAGCUGCCCAUUUGGGAGCCCUUGAGGCCUGGACUGGGUCCAGCUCCAGUGUGUCCCCAUCACAGUGAGGCCUGGAUCACAGGGCAUCAGCAGGUGUUGGUGAGAGUGAAGUUUGAGCCACAGCCACCUCCUUGUUUAUUCAAUGUAUAGUAACAACAACUUCCUCAGGGCCCAUCUCAGGGCUAAGUGACUUCUAUGUGUGAUCUCGUUUUCUUUUCAGAACAAAGCAGAGGCCUGGGGGCUGUUCUACCCAUCCUGUAGAUAAGAAAACUGAGACUCAAAACUGAUGGAUAAAUUAAGGUCCCACAAGAACAAGGGGCGAGCCAGGUUUCAAACCAGGUCCGAUGACUCUAAAGACCAGAUGCGAGCCUCUGUGCCUGGCCCCUUCUUCUUUUUUUUUUUUUUUUAAAGAACAUGUAUUUUUUUCUUUUACUUUGGAUGCAGAAGUUCAUUAUGUACCUUUUGGAAUUAUAAAACAAAAAAAUAUAUAUAAAAAAAUCACCCAGAACCCCACCAUUCAGAAGUGACACUGUUAAUAUUUUAAUGACCAAUCCAUCAGACUUUUUUAUACAUACAUAUACUUUCUUUUUACAAAAUUUCGAGAAAAGAUGCAAUAGUGUUGUAUUCAGGCUCAGAAAAUAAUACCCCAGAAUCUGGCGCUUUGACGUGCUGAACUGAAGAAGCGGUUUCAAGGUCUCUUUCUGACCUUGCCCUGCCUCCCUGUCUCUCUGAUCCUCUUACUUUCCCAAAGCACCAGGAGGGGCUGUCGCUGGAAUUUUCUUAUCUGCCUAAGAAAGCUUCUUUCCAAGAGAAAUGCAAUUUCUUAAAACUCCCCGUCCCUAGGAAUCUCAUCAAAUAACCAGGAAAGAUUAACCACUGGAAAAGAGACUAGAUGUAGUCACCGUGCUCAGACAGACUUUCAUUUGUUUUUCUGAGAGCAGCUCCUAGAGA